GGCGCGUUCGUCUAGUGGCCUAGGACGCUGGCCUCUCACGCCGGUAACACGAGUUCGAGUCUCGUACGCGCUA
rnacentral:tRNA from 1 species